GACGAACGCUGGCGGCGUGCCUAAUACAUGCAAGUCGAGCGGAGCGGCGGGUGGGUGAGUAACGCGUGGGUGACCUGCCCUUAAGUCUGGGGUACCAUUUGCAAACAGAUGCUAAUACCGGAUACUAAUGGAUGGAUCUGGGAUGCAUUAGCUAGUUGGUAAUGUAACGGCUUACCAAGGCGAUGAUGCAUAGCCGGGUUGAGAGACUGAUCAGCCACAUUGGGACUGAGACACGGCCCAAACUCCUACGGGAGGCAGCAGUAGGGAAUCUUCCACAAUGGACGAAAGUCUGAUGGAGCAACGCCGCGUGAGUGAAGAAGGUUUUCGGAUCGUAAAGCUCUGUUGUUGGUGAGGCGUUAAUCACCCAGAAAGUCACGGCUAACUACGUGCCAGCAGCCGCGGUAAUAC
rnacentral:rRNA from 1 species